AAACCAUGAUGUGGGUAUCUUUGGAUCAGCAUUUCAAAAUGCUCCCAAGCUUUGUAAAAGCUCUUUCCUUCUAAUUACUUAAAUGUGGUGAUCUCUCUUCUUAGUUG
rfam:Gossypium raimondii chromosome 5, whole genome shotgun sequence.